GGCUGACGCUGGUCUUGCACAAUUGGAUAGGUGUCCCAGAGCAUAGGAGGAUGUGACGCACAAGGUCAUGUGGCAUGGGGCCUCCCUCUAAACUCUCUUAUUCAUAUCUCCAUUUCCCCAUCUCUGUUCUGCAUGGAUGGGACGGAUUCAUAUCGGAUCAACAUGUUAUUGGACUAUUGGAGCCUCUGGAGAGCUCUGUUUUCCAAGCAUGAGAUGUCCAGCAGGAAACCAUCAUAAUCUCACUGAUCCUACAGUAGAUCAAUCCUCGAGGUCAACCCAGGUGUGAGCAACACUCCGUUGACCCCUCAAAGACAGUGCCCGACACAUGCACUGUUUGUUGACAUGUUUACGUACCGUUCCUUCCUCAAAGGGGCGGAGCUUCACCCGGCAUUCCGAUGUUGCUUUGGAGACAGGGCUCUGACAGCGGCCAAUGGGCAGAGAGGAUUAUAAUGAGUGCGUGUGAAUCAAACGGCGCUAUCAAACAGCAUGUUGACAGAAGGUGAUUUUUAAAAAAUCUGCUCACUCAAGGAAGAAUGCACAGCGGGGAAUAAGAACGAGAAUCAAACAAACAAAAGCUGCUAAGCCAAUUAAAUACCAUAGUCAUAAUCUGGACAUCAGGGGUUAGGUAGUGAGUGAGUGUGUGUUUUAAUACAACUGUUACUGUUACUGAAUGUGGCAACUCAGUUGUCUUUGGUUCUGAUUUCAUCUUGGCAUCAAGGGUGAGCUAGGUUGUGUGUGUGUGUGUGUGUGGCUGUGUGUGUGUGUGGCUGUGUGUGGCUGUGUGUGUGUUUGUGUCUCACAAAAGUGUUUGUGUCUCACAAAAGUGUUUGUCACUCUCCUUACAAAGUUGUCGUUUUUUUUCUAAGUAUAUCAAUGUUGUUGUUGGUAUCGUCUCAGUGUCUGGUUACUUACUUACAGUUGAAGUCGGAAGUUUACA